rnacentral:rRNA from 1 species
AACAGGGAUUGCCCUAGUAACGGCGAGUGAAGCGGCAACAGCUCAAAUUUGAAAUCUGGCUUCGGCCCGAGUUGUAAUUUGCAGAGGAAGCUUUAGGCGCGGCACCUUCUGAGUCCCCUGGAACGGGGCGCCAUAGAGGGUGAGAGCCCCGUAUAGUUGGAUGCCUAGCCUGUGUAAAGCUCCUUCGACGAGUCGAGUAGUUUGGGAAUGCUGCUCAAAAUGGGAGGUAAAUUUCUUCUAAAGCUAAAUACCGGCCAGAGACCGAUAGCGCACAAGUAGAGUGAUCGAAAGAUGAAAAGCACUUUGAAAAGAGGGUUAAAUAGCACGUGAAAUUGUUGAAAGGGAAGCGCUUGUGACCAGACUUGCGCCGGGCAGAUCAUCCGGUGUUCUCACCGGUGCACUCUGCCCGGCUCAGGCCAGCAUCGGUUCUCGCGGGGGGAUAAAGGCCCUGGGAACGUAGCUCCUCCGGGAGUGUUAUAGCCCGGGGCGUAAUGCCUUCGCGGGGACCGAGGUUCGCGCAUCUGCAAGGAUGCUGGCGUAAUGGUCAUCAGCGACCCGUCUUGAAACACGGACCAAGGAGUCAAGGUUUUGCGCGAGUGUUUGGGUGUAAAACCCGCACGCGUAAUGAAAGUGAACGUAGGUGAGAGCUUCGGCGCAUCAUCGACCGAUCCUGAUGUUUUCGGAUGGAUUUGAGUAGGAGCGUUAAGCCUUGGACCCGAAAGAUGGUGAACUAUGCUUGGAUAGGGUGAAGCCAGAGGAAACUCUGGUGGAGGCUCGCAGCGGUUCUGACGUGCAAAUCGAUCGUCAAAUCUGAGCAUGGGGGCGAAAGACUAAUCGAACCAUCU